rnacentral:tRNA from 1 species
GCGAGCGUCGUCCAAGGGCAGGACGCCGGGUUCCCAUCCCGAUAAUGCCGGUUCGAUUCCGGUCGCUCGCU